GCCUGGGUGGCUCAGUGGUUGAGCAUCUGUCUUCAGCUCAGGACAUGAUCCUGGGGUCCUGGGAUCGAGUCCCACAUCCGGCU
rfam:Canis lupus familiaris chromosome 9, whole genome shotgun sequence.